CCUGUGUUACAGAGGAUGACCUUGAACUUCUGCCCCGAGCUGACAUCACAGGGCAGUCCCACCACACCUGGUUCACACUGUGCUGAGAGUCAAAUUCAGGAUUUGGCUCAUGCUAAGCAAACACUCUUCCAAACUGAGUCACAUCUCCAGCCUGUUUUCUGCUUCUUGACAUCUUUGUUGAAGCAUAACUCACAUGUCACACAAUUCACCUAUUGAAGGUGUACAACUUAAUGUGGUUUUAUUAUUUUUAUAUCCACAGAACUGGACAGCCAUGCCUAUCAAUUUAAAAAACACUUUUUCGUUGCCUCAAAAUGAAACCCAAUAUCUUCAAGCUAUCGCCCUCCAUGCCCAGCCUCUCCAACUGUAGGAAACCGCUAAUUUGCUUUCCAUCUCAACGGAUGACUUGCCCAUUCUGGGCAUUUCAUAUAAAUGGAAUCAUACGGUAUGUGGUCUUCAGUGACUCACUUAUUUCUCUCAGUGUAAUGUUUCCAAGUUUCAGCCGAGCUGUAACAAUUGCCAGUAUGCCAUUCCUUUCCAUUUCUAAAUAAUAUUCUCCUGGACAGUUCCACGUUUAACUCAUUAAGCAAGAGUUGGAAACCUACAUCUCUCACAUGGACUACCACCCACCCUUGUCCUGUUGAUAAUCUUGGGGAUUACCAUACAACACAGCUGUACCACUUGAGGUCAAUAAGAACUUCUCCUUGCUUGUGUUAUUCAAAUGUGUAACCUCGUGGGUAAGGCUCUGCAGUUCAUGUCCACCGAUGAUCCAAGUAGAUAGAGCAGGAGUGAGGGCCUGCCACAGUUCAAGCCGAGAGCCUCACGGACAGCGGAUCCCAGCUGGUGGCUCCCAGAUUCCUAACCUACAGGAUUAUGUGAUUGGGGAGCACUGGGUUUAGUGUUCAGUGCUAGGUUUGGGGUAAUUCAUUACACAACAAUGACACACACACACACACACAAAAUUCAACAUAAGAUGAAUGUCACUGAACCCCCAAAAAUAUUUUAAACCAAAGAAAGUAAAGCCUGAGCUAAUAUCAACAAAAGUCAACCUUCCUUUCCCCCAAUACAUGUGAGAUACCCAGACUGUGUAAGUAGUGGCACAGAAGAGAGAGACACGGAGAUAGAGCUGGUGCCUGUGGCUGAACUCAAGGGAUCCUUCCUCCUAGGGGAUCACAUAGGAAGGUUUCCUAGCCGGUUGGCACUGAAACACAGCAGGACUCAUACUGCUUCUUGACCUCAGUCUCUGGUAUUCUUUUCUGGGUGAGGUGGUGAGGGUUCCAGGUUCCUUCUAUGCCUGGGCUAUGGCUCUGAGACUAGCAAACUGGCCCUUCUUCUAGCCCCCUAAACCAACAGAACACUGAGUGAGCAAGUGUGGGCCGUGGGCCAGAAAUGAACGUGGAUGAAGUUGUGAGAUGGUGGAAAAGCUCUUCUCACUGAUCUCUUCCCAACACCUGGGCCGAGGGUCACAGUGACACCGGCACACACACCCUAAAAAGCCCUCACAGAGAUAUUGGAAAGAGAAACUAGAGAUGGGGGCCUGUGAUGAUUCUGUCUCGGGAAAAACCGUAAGAGAUGAUCUCACUCAACUUACUCCUCCAUGUUCCCACAAUCCCACACCCUGGCAUCAGAUCCCCUCCGUGCUAAGCUGGGUCCUCUUCAACUUCUCUUUCUUGUGUCCAUACAUGUCUCACCAACACAUCAAGUGCCCUUCACCACUUCCCCUUCUUCAGCAGAUGGCAAAUCCUGGAAAACCACUUUGGAAGCAGCUCACACAUUUUCCAAGAAAAGACAAACAAAAUAGGGGGUGGGGUGGGGAACAGCCAUGUGUCUCGCAUGUUAGCUAAUGACAAUCACAGCGCAGCAUCGAGCAGCAGCCGAAAUGCUGGGCUCAGCCAGAAAGAGACAACAGAACCCACAUGUUCCUCCUUUACCCUUACUCUUUCUCAGUUUGGCCCUCAAAGCUAGCACAUCCAUGCUUCAAAGUAGAACACACUAGAACGCAUGCUGCCGAUCAGAGGGACAUCAGCUGAGAUUUUCACCAGGCCUGGGAGGGACCAAAAUUCCCUCAUAUGAACCUCAGGGCCAUUUUCUAGCCCUGCCAGGAGCAGAGGAACUAAGCGGGUCCUGAAAUAUGUAAAACGUACAGUCAGCAGAAGCUAGUGAUCAGGAAGUGAGGCUCAUGGUGGACAGAGGGCAUGAAGUAUAAGGCUUGUACCCCUAUUUCUCAUCUAACCUAGAUUUCUAGAGAAUAGCCUUCGGUGUCAUGCUGGGCUCCCGUCCCACUAACGUGAUGUCUCCCUGUGAGUUUCAUGUAUAAACAAGGGUGGGGCUCCCUCCUUGUUGAUUUGUCACAGGCCUCAAUGACAUUUUCUAUCUAAAGUCCCUGCCAGAGCCAAAGGCUCAUAACAGCCUCCCAAAGUGUACCGCUAUUAUUGGCUAUUGUUGUCUGGUCUUUGUGAGCCUAGCGUAGUGGAGAAAAUUAUAAUCAUCAUCCAUGAUGGGGUGGUAUUUGCCAUUUCCCAUCCUGUCACAUGUGUUCAGCCAUCUAAAGUCGACUUUAUUACUAGCAUUGAUGCCCCUUUUGAAAGAGAAAUGGGAAAAAAAAGACGUGCAGACAAGGAAUGUGCGAGGGAAAGAACGGGAGAGAAAUUUCUGACUUAUAUCUGCUUGGAAGUGGGCAGGUUUUGUGCGGUCUUUUCUUGGGGGGAUCGACAGGCAUCUGUUUACCCCAGGUAGAACACUAAUGCCAUGCAGAGAAUGACAACAAUAGCAAUGCCAUUCAAGUCUAGCUUGGUGAAACAAUGAGUUCAUUAAGAUUUCUCACCAACGAGUGGGUGAGUAGACGCUUACCAAAGAGUGCACAGGGAACACUGUUAAAGGAAGAAACUCUUGGAGACUCUAGCAACUCUUAAGGAUCUAUAAAUCCCUGUGUGGGGAGGGACCUUGUGAGACCGGGGUCCCCUCUGUGACGGAGAGUUAAUGAGUUCAGUCGUGUGCAGCAGAUCUCCUUUGGGUGACUACAGCUGCUGAUGGUUCGAGAGGGCAGUGCCCACGCUGUGCCUGGAGGAUAGCCUUCUGUAGCAUCAGAGAAAAGAAAUCACACCCCCAAAGAAUGCAGGCCAGGCAUGCCUGCAUCUUCCUUCAAAUUCUAGGAAAAGGAAGCAAAACACCCAGAGAUGGGGGACUGUGGCAGAGUGAGGGCACCAGGGUCACAAACCAGCCCCUGGCACGUUUGUUUUUCUGAACCCCAAUUUUCUUAGCUGCAGAAAGGGUUAGUAUGGACACUGUUGUGGUGUGGUACACUGAAGGUAGAGCUGGUAAAGGUAAGACACAUCCGUGCCUACUGUUAUUGUGAAGAACUAUCUAGACAGCUUUUCCUCCACCUUCAUUACCAUCUUAAAAAAUCCCAAACCACAGGCUUCUCAUUUCCUACGCUUUCUACAGUAGUUCACGCUUCUCCCUUAAGAGCUGUUAUCUAGCUCCCCACCCCACCUCUUAGGUCAUGUGCUCCAGCUCAAGAUCAGGACUAUACCUUAUACAGGGUUUUCCAAGAACUAGCAUCCAGUAAGCAUUCAAAAACACACAGUAGGCAUUUGAUAUAUGCUUAAUGCAGAAGGAGAUUUGACGUCUCUGAUUUCUUCACCCUAACAGCAGUCCAGACAGAGAAAAAAAAAGAACACCAAGAGAAAUGUGAGCAGUCUGCUUUGUGCCUUCGCUACACCGCCAGGGUCAUCUGGAUUUAGAAUAAGAAUAAUGCAAAACAAACUUUGAAACUAGCAUUUAGAAGAAUGCCUUGCAUUUUUAGAGGCCAGAGGAAAACGCAUCAUAGUCAUUUGGGGCUAGGAGCAGAUGGUGGUGUUUCAACAUGUGGAAAUAACCACGGGCAAGGACUUGGACAGCUACCAUGGAAUCAAUCCACAGGCCAGGGGGCAGAAUCCAGAUGCUGAGCUGGCCACAUAGCCUUGCCUUGCUAAGACCCUGUCAUCACAAUACCAGCCUGGCAUGGCCACCUGGGGCUUAGCCGGCCAACCAGAGGAUUGUCUAAAGAAGAGGUAGAAUAUAAACUUGAACAAUUCUAGGUCUGUGGAAAAGAAGCUUUUUUUCCCUCUCCAUGGUUUACCUGGCUAGCAGCUGAAAGAAGGCAGAAUGAUGACUGGUCAUUUUUACUGCUCUGCAGUGAGAGCUGUGUGGAGUGCUGUCGUGAAGACAUUGGACAGUUAGCUGCCCACAGUGUGUCAGAGCCAAGGCUACAUCAUUGCCAUCAGACAGCAUCAGCAGCCUGGUCCAUUGAGAACGCACCUCCCUCCCAAGAUACCAGGAAAAUGAUACUCCAGAAACAAACUCAGCCAUUCAGACAGAACUGAGGAUUGCUGACAUCACAUCAAUAGAUUCACUCUCGGGUACAUAAGGUUUAGAGUCCUUUUCCACAUGCUGAUAAUUUUUAUACUUUUGAGACUAUAACAAAAUUAUGUCCCUUCUU